CGUAGUUUGAUCCUGGCUCAGGAUGAACGCUAGCGGCAGGCUUAAUGCAUGCAAGUCAAGGGGGUAGCAAUACAACCGGCGCACGGGUGAGUAACGCGUACACAACAUACCAUAUACUGGAGUAUAGCUUUGGGAAACUGAAGGUAAUCCUCCAUAACAUUGCGAGAGGGCAUCUGAUUGCAAUUAAAGUUUCGGCGGUAUAUGAUUGGUGUGCGUUUGAUUAGCUAGUUGGUAGGGUAACGGCCUACCAAGGCGACGAUCAGUAGCUGGCGUGAGAGCGCGACCAGCCACACUGGAACUGAGACACGGUCCAGACUCCUACGGGAGGCAGCAGUAGGGAAUAUUGGACAAUGGAGGAAACUCUGAUCCAGCCAUGCCGCGUGAUAGAUGAAGGCCCUCUGGGUUGUAAAUAUCUUUUAUCUGGGAAGAAACACUCCUAUUCUUAGGAACUUGACGGUACCAGAGGAAUAAGCACCGGCUAACUCCGUG
rnacentral:rRNA from 1 species